UCCACAUUUCGUUUUUAUUUCAGAAAAUAAUCAAAGAAUAAGAUGCAUACUAUUGUCAGUUAUAAAGUUUUAAAUUUCAAAUGUUGCUCACUGGCUAAAUCUGUUAAAAAAUUGCUGUUAGUCUGUACCUAAAAUCUUCCAUUCUGUCAAAAGUAAAAGCAUCAGAAAAUACAUGCUAAUUCCAGCAAGAUUUAUAAGGCCAGUCUAAGUUUAAGAGGUUAAUCAUGCUUCAUACUUUUGUUGCCCUAUAUCUGAAAAAUGCUGUCUUUAUAGCAAAGAUGAAUAAUUUAUCCCAUCAUUAUAAGUGGGAAAAGUUAACUAGGUUAUUAAACAAUUCAAGUAAAUUCAUCAAGUUAAUUUAAUUCACAUUAAAUACUUAAACCCAUCUAUUAUUUCAGAAAAUACCUGUAGACAGUUCUGUCUAUAAGAAGUUCAAAAGCCAGGAAAUUCUAAAGUUGUAAAACUAGAUAAGAGUGUGAAAGGCUGUGAAUUUGGAUCCACAGUAUGUUUUAUCUCCGUAUUCUGCCACACCAUGCCCCAAACCUGGUGAUAUCGGUUCUCUUUUGUAUUAUUUCAACUACUUUCCACAUUUUUUUAAAACUUGUUUUUAAUUGUCCACAGCCCGUGAAGAGUUUAAACUCCUAUUGGCCUGGUGGUUCUUUUUCAUACUACAAAUUUCCAUCUACUUCACCAUAUGUACAGAAGUCAUCUUCUAACUUUUCAGACAUACUGCAUUAAAACUCCCUCAGCUCAGACUCCAGGUGGCUCUCCGGUGUGUGGGGCAGCUAUAGAACCACUGCAACAGCACGACUGCUUGCGUAAUACCUGACACGUAGAAUAAGAUUGAGUUGGAUAUAAAUGAUGACAAAUGACUGGCAUCAUGGUGCAGGAACAGCAGCGGCGAGCAGAGCAGAGGGCACUCAAGGAAUCAUCGUUCUCUAGAGUAGCAGUGGAGCUUGCUGCUACCAGAGGAGAAAAUUUCACUCCACUUUUCUUUGCUCCCUUGCCCCAUCCUUCUGGUGCCCCUCCUCUAAGCAGCACCUGGGGUACCUACCCCACUCCUCCACCCCACAUUAUGCUAUGACCUUUCAAACAAUCUUCUGUCAGCAGUUCCAUUUAAGGGGUGAAGUGUGGAAAAUCUCAGAAAGAAAAAAAAGUGAAAUGAAAAGAAGGAAGUGUAUCGCAGACAGACUGUACAGAGACAGUCUUUUCAUUGCCAGAAACAGAAAACUGAACAAACUGUAAAACAAAAAGGACAGUCCUUGCACCGUAUAGCUUACGAUCUAAGAUGAGAUACAACGGAUGACUGUGGCGGUAUCAAUUCACUAGCAACCUAUACUUUCCAAUUGUUUGGACACAUCAUAGCAAAAAAGAAGCCUUUGGAGGAGGAUAAUGAGUAGCUUUACAGUUGUUCACAAAGAGGUCAUUCCAGGGAGGAAGGACAGCAAGAGAAAAAGCAUGAAAGUAUUUGUUUGGAAAUUUAACAGCUGGGCAGUGGGGAUAGGUAACACUGGCUGAUCUGAGGCAGGAGAUGACAAAAGCAACAGUGACAGAAAUGACAGGUCAGGGCAAGGAGGGUGAUGGCACGGUUAUUGAAGACAAACACCUGAUGUUCGGAGUUACAAAAGAAAGGGAAACAAUUGGGGGGGAUUCAAAGAGAGGUUAGUAAGUCAAAGAAGAAGGCUAGACGUAUAUUGUUGCAGCAGCAUUUGGAAUGAAUGAGAGUGGGGCAAGACUGUAUUUGAAAAGGAUGUGACAGUAACUGAUAGGCAAGAUGGAAGGAAUUUGGCUGAACGUUUUAGCUGCGUGGAUGGAAAGGAAAGGCCAUACCACAGAGGUGUGGAGAGCCAUUUCAGUGGAGAGCAGGGGGGAGCCAGAUUGGAUACUGUCUGGAAUAGAACUAGAGUAGAAGAAAAGUCAGUCUGGACCAGAAGUCACAGCCAAUGGGCUGAGUCACAGGACAAGGACUAAGAGAUGAUCUUACAAGAGAUCGGGUGAUAACUGGAAAAAGAAAGAGCAACUGCAUAUGCACAUAAGUAUGUGAGUGAGUACACAUGUGAACAGUAUUUGGGGAAGAUCAUAUCUAGUGAAUGGCUCUUUUGUUAAGUGGGAGAGUUGAACCAUGGCUCCAGGCUGAAUAAACAGUUGAGGAAGAAGUAGGUAUGGAUGGUAGAAAUUGUUGAGAAGUGAAGAGAGCCAGGAAGGAGAAAUACCCGCAGUGAAGAAGACUGAAGGCAAGAGUUGCUAGCAUGUAUGAAAAGGUUUGAUAAAGAGCCACAGGUAAGUAGAGGACGGACAAAGUUAAAACAAAAGCACGGAAGGUCUGAAGUUUUUCUUCCAACUUGGCUCUGGGGCCAAUCCCUGCUAUCUGGCAGGGUCUCUGUGGCAGUGCAUCUUUGGUGCCUGUCACUUUAAGGACUGGAGCAGGCAGCCACCAGGUGGCUGAUUGCAGCAGCCAUUUUCAAAGGCCAGCUAUAUAAAGAGGGCAGUUGGCUGCUAGCAAGGGAAGCAGCAACAUCAGCUGACUGAGCUCCUGCUUGAGGACCUGGAGGUAAGGAAAGGGGCUAUGGGGAGGUGAAGGCUUCUGUUGUUCUGGGUAAGAUGUGAAACUGCACCUGCUGGGGUGGGGCUCCUAGUGGCAUGGGAGCCUCCAGGAAAUGCCAGGCCAGUUACCUCCCCAGUGAAAGGUAGAAAAGGGCACCUUAUAACCACAGCCCCACAGCCCUGGUGAUGUUCCAGCAGAGCAGGGAGAGCCCAGGUUCAUUAGGAGCCUGGAGGCAGAGUCCAGGCCAGAGGAGGGACCUAGAGCUGCGCCCAGGCAGCAGGGUAAAGCCUGGAGGUGCGAGUAGAGACCCAGUGAGAGAUGGGUGACAGAGAGAGAGGUCCUGUGAGCGGGCAAGUGAGUUGAGGCCCUAAGAGGGGCAUAGUGAAGAGGGAAAAAACCCAGUGGGGGCAUGGAGGCCUGGUGCGGGGCCAGGAGCAAAGUAGGCUAAUAGUUGUAGAGUUGCUCAGAAAAUGCUCACAUGAGGGCAGUGGAAGAUGCCCGACAAACUGCACUGGGGCUGACGGAGGUGUGGAGAGACAAGCCGGAAGCUGGGUGAGACCAGGUGGUAUGAAUGUGGCCCAGGAGAGUGGGCAGCAUGAAAGAGGCUGGGUGAGAGCUGGCGGAGUGAAUGGGACCCCAGUGAGAGAGGGGUGGUGUGAGAGUGGCCCUCCAGGGUAGUAUGGUAGAGCUACAACUGUGUGCCCAGUUUGCUCCGGACCUAGGCCAGAGAGGUAUUGCACAUGGAACAUCUGCAAGGCUUGGGGCAUGUACGGGGGUGGUCAAAGCGUGCACUUAUGGCCCUAAUCAUCAGGGCAUACAAAAGGUAGUCCUCCGCUCAAGUAACAGCUGAAAUUUAUUUUCAUCAAGGCAUGGCAGGAGAGUGGACCAGGCAAAUUGCCCAGAGACGGGGGAAGACUGGAGGUAGAGACCUGGUCAGGACUGUAAGCCUGUUACAGUCUCAAAUUCUAAUUACCACCACAAGAGGCAGGUUCUCGUAUUUUAUUUCUACUUAUUACAGUAGAAGCUGUGUUAACUGGCACGAGUGGGGUAAGGAGGGUGCUGGUUAUGUAAAAAUUCUGGUUAUCGGCAUCAAUGCAGUGGCGGCGGCGGCGGCCAGCUGCUGCCGCGUGGAAACUCCUUCCUCCCCCAUCUCUCCCAUCCGGCUGGCUGGGUGAUGCCUGUGUGGCCCACAAAGGGGAGCCACUCCCCACACUGUCUCAAAACUGCACUAAAAAUAUAAAUUCAAACCCCAAGAAUAGGAAUAGGGGAAUAUGAAUUCAAGAAAGGAGGCCUACUGUUUAAUUUUUCCAGACCUUUUUUUGUAGUCUCAGGAAAAUUGUCAUAAGCAAGAAAGUCUCUAAAGGCAACUGGCUAUCAGGCAUGUUGGCUACAGAUAUUAUUGAAACAUGCUCAGAGGUGUAUUGUUGUAGUCUUUACCACAUACCAAAAAUAUGUAGCUUUGCUAGUGUUAAAGCAGAGAUGGAUAGAACAGUUCAUAGUCACAGACCAAUUAGAACUAGCCUUUUCUGUAGUUCUAGGGUAACUGUUUCAGAAGACACACACUUGGAGUCCUAACAAGCAAAACUGACUUCAGAGCAGCCCAGAACACAUGUGGCUUUCAAAUCUGGUUCUGUGCUCAGGGCCUUGCAAGUGAAAAUGCACUGAAGAAAAAUUGAUAGGUCUCCAUCCCUCAGGGAAUAAAUUAGGCUACAGAAAUCCCUCAAUGUUUUAGUUCAUUACGAACAAAACAAAACGACAAAAAGCAAAUCCCAAAAGUAACAAAUGCGUGGAAGCUGUUGCUCGACUUUUCUUCAGAAUCAUCACUUCAGAAUUCUGCCUCCAGCUUCUGGAACUCGGUAGCAUCUAC